UGCUACAAGUGCUUUUCAUCUGCUGUUAAGAGACCAAUUUUUAAUCAAAUGUAGCUGCAUUCCAAUGCUUCCACUAAAACUCGGCUCACAACGCUGCAAAACCAAGGAAAUUAAUACUUCCAAGGAAAGGAACAGCAUCUGUAAAGAGCAGGUCAUCACUGGCUGCUAGAUUGAAGAGCAGCAGGUGACUUAAAGAAGAUUGAGAUGUGACCCCGUAUUCUGUGUUUCUUUAGCCAGAACAUCCUCAAAAGGUGUGACUAUCUGGAAGAGAAUGCAAAGACUUGAAAGGGAUUAAGGGCUCUCUUCCUCUGUUGUUUACCUAAUAGCAGAAGACUAUUA